UGGGGAAUAUUGGACAAUGGGCGAAAGCCUGAUCCAGCCAUGCCGCGUGUGUGAAGAAGGUCUUCGGAUUGUAAAGCACUUUAAGUUGGGAGGAGGGGCAUUAACCUAAUACGUUAGUGUUUUGACGUUACCGACAGAAUAAGCACCGGCUAACUCUGUGCCAGCAGCCGCGGUAAUACAGAGGGUGCAAGCGUUAAUCGGAAUUACUGGGCGUAAAGCGCGCGUAGGUGGUUUGUUAAGUUGAAUGUGAAAUCCCCGGGCUCAACCUGGGAACUGCAUCCAAAACUGGCAAGCUAGAGUAUGGUAGAGGGUAGUGGAAUUUCCUGUGUAGCGGUGAAAUGCGUAGAUAUAGGAAGGAACACCAGUAGCGAAGGCGACUACCUGGACUGAUACUGACACUGAGGUGCGAAAGCGUGGGGAGCAAACAG
rnacentral:rRNA from 1 species